rnacentral:rRNA from 1 species
AAAUUGAAGAGUUUGAUCAUGGCUCAGAUUGAACGCUGGCGGCAGGCCUAACACAUGCAAGUCGAACGGUAACAGGAAGCAGCUUGCUGCUUUGCUGACGAGUGGCGGACGGGUGAGUAAUGUCUGGGAAACUGCCUGGUGGAGGGGGAUAACUACUGGAAACGGUGGCUAAUACCGCAUAACGUCG